rnacentral:tRNA from 1 species
UGGGAGGCGCGGCUGGUCCGGUGACUGGUGCAGUCUUCAAAACUGUUGGGCCGGCGUCAAGCGUCGGUCGGUGGGUUCGACUCCCAUGCGCCUCCGCCA